CGGACAGAUGGGAGCUUGCUCCCUGAUGUUAGCGGCGGACGGGUGAGUAACACGUGGGUAACCUGCCUGUAAGACUGGGAUAACUCCGGGAAACCGGGGCUAAUACCGGAUGGUUGUUUGAACCGCAUGGUUCAAACAUAAAAGGUGGCUUCGGCUACCACUUACAGAUGGACCCGCGGCGCAUUAGCUAGUUGGUGAGGUAACGGCUCACCAAGGCAACGAUGCGUAGCCGACCUGAGAGGGUGAUCGGCCACACUGGGACUGAGACACGGCCCAGACUCCUACGGGAGGCAGCAGUAGGGAAUCUUCCGCAAUGGACGAAAGUCUGACGGAGCAACGCCGCGUGAGUGAUGAAGGUUUUCGGAUCGUAAAGCUCUGUUGUUAGGGAAGAACAAGUACCGUUCGAAUAGGGCGGUACCUUGACGGUACCUAACCAGAAAGCCACGGCUAACUACGUGCCAGCAGCCGCGGUAAUACGUAGGUGGCAAGCGUUGUCCGGAAUUAUUGGGCGUAAAGGGCUCGCAGGCGGUUUCUUAAGUCUGAUGUGAAAGCCCCCGGCUCAACCGGGGAGGGUCAUUGGAAACUGGGGAACUUGAGUGCAGAAGAGGAGAGUGGAAUUCCACGUGUAGCGGUGAAAUGCGUAGAGAUGUGGAGGAACACCAGUGGCGAAGGCGACUCUCUGGUCUGUAACUGACGCUGAGGAGCGAAAGCGUGGGGAGCGAACAGGAUUAGAUACCCUGGUAGUCCACGCCGUAACGAUGAGUGCUAAGUGUUAGGGGGGUUUCCGCCCCUUAGUGCUGCAGCUCACGCAUAAGCACUCCGCCGGGGAGUACGGUCGCAGACUGAACUCAAGGAAUUGACGGGGGCCCGCACAGGGUGGAGCAUGUGGUUUAAUUCGAAGCAACGCGAGAACCUUACCACGUCUUGACAUCCUCUGACAUCCUAGAGAUA
rnacentral:rRNA from 1 species